AAGGACAGCAGAAAUGGACCACAACAACCACUCCCAGUCAUGAUGGAGAGAAGUGUUCAAUACCCACAGAUCCUGAAUGUUGAGCUGAUUAUACUAACUAGAUGGGACUUAGUUUUGUCUACCGUGGGGUGAGCGUAUACUACCUGAGGGAACAGGUUCUCUGUGGUGAAGAUGGCAACUUGCUGACUCAGUCUCAGAAUGCGUUAAAUCCACAUAUUCUGGCAAGUGGAGUUCUGCUUCUCCAAUAUCUCUUCCAGACUAAGUCUCGAAAGGACAGUAAUUGAUCCACCCUGAGUCAUAUGCCCAUGUCCAAAGCAAUGAGUUUGGAAAAUUUCAUGACACACUCCUAAUUUUGUGGUAGGAGACACAUCAGAACCACACAAUGAGUCAGUCCUAUUUAUGAAAUAGAGGUUCAUCUAUCAGAUGAAAGGGAAAAAAGUUGUAAAAACAAAACAGAUGUUCACUAAUGGGGAUCUAUCUGAAUUUCACCUGUAACUACAAAUGCUCACAAGUAGAUUUACAG
rnacentral:lncRNA from 1 species